rnacentral:rRNA from 1 species
CAGUAGCCGCGGGAAAACGUAGGGUGCGAGCGUCAAUCGGAAUUACUGGGCGUAAAGCGUGCGCAGGCGGCUUUGCAAGACAGAUGUGAAAUCCCCGGGCUCAACCUGGGAACUGCAUUUGUGACUGCAAGGCUAGAGUGCGGCAGAGGGAGAUGGAAUUCCGCGUGUAGCAGUGAAAUGCGUAGAUAUGCGGAGGAACACCGAUGGCGAAGGCAAUCUCCUGGGCCUGCACUGACGCUCAUGCACGAAAGCGUGGGGAGCAAAUGGGAUUAGAUACCCCGGUAGUCCCUGUCUCUUAUAC